rnacentral:rRNA from 1 species
AGCGAACGCUGGCGGCAGGCUUAACACAUGCAAGUCGAACGGGCGUAGCAAUACGUCAGUGGCAGACGGGUGAGUAACGCGUGGGAACGUACCUUUUGGUCGGAACAACUGAGGGAAACUUCAGCUAAUACCGGAUAAGCCCUUACGGGGAAAGAUUUAUCGCCGAAAGAUCCGGCCCGCGUCUGAUUAGCUAGUUGGUAAGUAUGGCUCACCAAGGCGACGAUCAGUAGCUGGUCUGAGAGGAUGAUCAGCCACAUUGGGACUGAGACACGGCCCAAACUCCUACGGGAGGCAGCAGUGGGGAAUAUUGACAAGUGGGGCAACCCUGAUCCAGCCAUGCCGCGUGAGUGAUGAA